rnacentral:rRNA from 1 species
AUGAGCACCAGUAUCUGGAAGUACCAAGUCUCGAGGCAGAGCAUGAUAGCGGAGGCAAGGGACAGCUUGAAAAACUCAGGCAAGCCGGAGAACGCCUGGAGGGAGAAUCCAGUCCAAGUGAGGCGGCACCGGCUGCUGGUGACGAUGUAUACAAACUGCCCAAUGACGAUAAUCCACCAGCUGAUGCUGAGCAUGAGCGAGGCGCCCAGAAGCCCCAGCCCAAACUUGUAG